GUUGAAGUAUCUAGCGUGAGCUGAUAUGGAGCUUCCAUAAGCACAGAUCUAGGUGGUAGUAGCAAAUAUUCGAAUGAGAUCUUGGAUGGCUGAAGUGGAGA
rnacentral:ncRNA from 1 species